GACGAACGCUGGCGGCGUGCUUAACACAUGCAAGUCGAACGGAAAGGCCCUGCUUUUGUGGGGUGCUCGAGUGGCGAACGGGUGAGUAACACGUGAGUAACCUGCCCUUGACUUUGGGAUAACUUCAGGAAACUGGGGCUAAUACCGGAUAGGAGCUCCUGCUGCAUGGUGGGGGUUGGAAAGUUUCGGCGGUUGGGGAUGGACUCGCGGCUUAUCAGCUUGUUGGUGGGGUAGUGGCUUACCAAGGCUUUGACGGGUAGCCGGCCUGAGAGGGAGACCGGCCACAUUGGGACUGAGAUACGGCCCAGACUCCUACGGGAGGCAACAGUGGGGAAUAUUGCACAAUGGGCGGAAGCCUGAUGCAGCAACGCCGCGUGCGGGAUGACGGCCUUCGGGUUGUAAACCGCUUUCGCCUGUGACGAAGCGUGAGUGACGGUAAUGGGUAAAGAAGCACCGGCUAACUACGU
rnacentral:rRNA from 1 species